GACGAACGCUGGCGGCGUGCUUAACACAUGCAAGUCGAACGGAAAGGCCCUGCUUUUGUGGGGUGCUCGAGUGGCGAACGGGUGAGUAACAUGUGAGUAACCUGCCUUUGACCUUGGGAUAACUUCAGGAAACUGGGGUUAAUACCUGAUAGGAGCUCCUGCUGCAUGGUGGGGGUUUGAAAGUUUCGGUGGUUGGGGAUGGACCCGCGGCUUGCCAGCUUGUUGGGGGGGUAAUGGUUUACCAAGGCUUUGACGGGUAGCCAGCCUGAGAGGUUGAACGGCCACAUUGUGACUGAGAGACGGCACAGAAGCCAACGGGAGCCAGCAGUGGGGAAUAUUACACAAUGGGCGGAAGCCAGAUGCAGCAACGCCGCGUGCGGGAUGACGGCCUUCGGGUUGUAAACCGCUGUCGCCUGUGACGAAGCGUGAGUGACGGUAGUGGGUAAAGAAGCACCGGCUAACUACGUG
rnacentral:rRNA from 1 species